UUAAACUCUAAACCCAAUAUGCCCCAUAUUACAUAAAAUAUGGUCAUUUCCUAAUCUUUAUCAGCCUCCAUUUCUAAAUCUUCCACAUUGGCUUCUAGUAAAUUAUUUUCUAAACCAACUAGCUACAACAGUCACUACCAAACAUUACUACAUAUCUCUUCUCAGCUUUCCUCUGCAACUCUUCUUUCGUUUUGUUCCUCGAGUUGAUUUAGUUUCUGGUUAAUAGCUUGUUUUCAAUUUCUUAUUUUUUUCCAAUGGCUGAAGAUGAAAGACCAAACUGGUUGGAACUUGUGCCUGAACUCAUGUAGUUGUUGACCCUUACUCUCUCUUGGUGGUGAUCCUCCUGUUAGCAAAGUCAGCCCUGCCAACGAAGCAGCGUCGUCGCCGGCGUAAGUGGAGAAGCGGCUCCAACAAAAAUAGUAAUUUCAGGUGUUUGUAAUGAUGUACAACGGGAAGGGAUAGCCGAAAGUCUGACCUACUUACAGGAAAAAAGGAUAUACUUGGACAGUGUGGUGGACUCUGAAGACAUGCAAUCAGGCUGUAGAGAAUCAUGCGAGAUGGAAGGACUUUGCAAAUAAUUAGGCUCAAAAGGAUUGGAGUAGACAGACUCUCAAGAGAAUCAGGCUGAAAAGAAUGUGGUGGACUAUGCAAUAAUCGGGCUUAAGAGUUAAAAAGAGUAUUCACGCUGCACAGCUAAUUUUUCUUUUAUUUAUUUAUUAUUAUUUUUUUUUGGCAAAACACUGGUUUUAUUUUUAUUGUUUUUCAAAACAUUGCUUCUUUUGUUUUAUUUUUGUUUUUCAAAGCACUCCUUAUUAUUAUUUUUGGAAGUUCAGAUUUCGUUGAGCUAUCUUGUCUAACAUUAGCUGCCAAGAUGUGAUUUUUGUGAUUUAUGAUAGCUAGUAGGACCAUGACUCUCUGUUCAUAAGAAUAAUUCAAGAUCUUGAUCAAGAAUAUACUCCUUUUAUUGGUGAGGGAAAGAGACGAUGAUAUACAAGCUGGACAUUGUAAUAGUUACGACUAGUUCAUGAAAAUAAGAGUGUGGAAGAGAGAGAAAUCAAAACCUUGAUAAGUGGGGAGAAUCAACGUCAUGAGUCAUGACUCAUCCCCUCAUGACCAAUCUUCACAAUAUAGCAUGUAAGCCACAAGAAAUUGAAAGAAAUAUUUGGGUAUUCAUGAUUGAAUAAUGAAGUUGAGAAUCAAUUUGUCGAAGAGGAAAAAGAGGCUUAAAAUAGUAUAUUAGCUCUUUUUUUUUUUAAGGAAAAUAUUAUAUUAAACAUGUUUAUGUAAUAAUGUAAAAUUAGAUUAUAUUCAAAGUUUUGUAAAUUAAAUAUUCUGCAUGAUUUUUUUUUUAAUUUCUGUAUUAAAAAAAAUAUUUUUCUUGAAUUAUUUAUUACUAUGAUGCUUUGAAUUGUCCACAGCAAAGACUAAAGUUGCCAAUUUGUCGAAGUUUUUUGUCCUUUUGGGGAAGGGGUUUUUAUUUGUAUCCGAUGCGGAUAUGGUGGUGGGGUUUUAAACCAACCAUAGCAACUUUCUGGUUCUUUCUUUUCUUUUAAUUUUCUCUCUUUAAAAUUUGCAUCCUUUUAUCCCCCCCUUUUUUUUUUUUUUGGUUCCUCUCUAAGAUAAAUUGCCUGUCAUCAUUGUUUUACUCAUCAUUUUUGUCUCUUAUACUGGAUUAAGUUUGAUUAAUAGAUCUAAACAUGCAUGAAAUUCCCUAUAAGGAUACUACUUAUGUCUGAUGAUUCAUAAAGAGACUAAAUAUCGUUAAUAGCUCUAUAAAUUCAUUAAACUGGCAGAUUUUGGUGCAUCAAAGAAAGUUGUUGAGCUGGCUACUUCACACUGGAUGGCUUCAGAAAGUUAUUCUCCAAACUGGGCAUAGCUUGUAAGACCAAUUUCAUACCUUUCUACCAAGGACAAUAAAAUUUAAGCCAUACUUUCAAUAACUAGAAUCAAGUUCACUGGUGUGACUACUAUUAUGUAUUAUCAAGAUACUAUAUGAAGAAUACAACAAACAAAAAAUUUCUGUAAUUCUGACCUCCAAUCUCAAACAUAUUUCCAAGCUCUCAUGCAAUGUAUAAUCUAUUCAUUUCUCCAAUUAGCUGUGUAAUGAAACAUCAAAAUCUAGAUUACUUUUUCGUAAUGAAGCUCUCUACUGAUAUACGUAAUGUUGGAUACACUGUGAUUGAGAUGGCUACAUGAAAGCCUCCUUGGAGCCAGGGGUAUCAGGAGGUGCACAUAUAGAGCUGCUUGUCAGAUUUACAUUUUCUAGUUUGCUUGAUGAGUAGAAUUUAUAAGAGGUUGCAGCUAGCUCUCUUCUAUGUUGGAGCAACAAGAUCACAUCCACCAAACCCUAAGCAUCUUUCUGCUGAAGCCAAAGAUUUUCUACUGAAAUGCUACAAGAGUAAAUUCAAUAUCCAUUUGUUACUGGGGAGAUAUCAGGAAUCUCAUAGAGUAUUCCGCACUUCAUUUAUGGUCGGUAAAGUUGUCCUAUUAUUACACUUUUUCUCCUUCUCAUGACUAUCCUUUUAUCAGGAAUCUAGAAACAAUAUGGCAACACCUGGGGCAAAUCUUAGGAACUUUGUAACUGUUUUCUUUUGUGGAACGAUUACUAGUUGUUGGCAGUCUGGAUUUUUGAGUUUAAUCAAUGCUGCAGCUUGAACCCUGCAAGCAGAAGGUCAACCUGUGCAGGCUUGAAGGAUAUUUUUGGGUAGUGUGAGACUCUAACUAUAUAUAUAUAUAUAUAUAUGUAUCCUGAGAAUUUGUCAGGAGUGAGAUCUUACUGGGGACAAAUGAAUUACGAUGAUGUGAUAUGUCAGAUUGAUGUUCAAGAUGAUCUUAUGGUUAGUUCAUAUCUGCCUCAGCGUCUAAUGAUUUAGCCAAGAUUUUUGAUCGUAUGUAUGAACCGACUGAUGAUUGGCCAAGUAAGUCGGAUGGAAGCAUAGAGUUGGCUAGAAGUGGAAACUUAUCUCCUGCUCAGACAAUUCAUAAGGCUGCUCGCAAUCCCAGAGCAUCUGAAAAGGAGGAAAGUGACUUUGAAUUUGCUCAUAGGCAAUCGGCAGAUGAUGAUGAUCUGAAGUUUCAGAGUCUUAGAGCUGUCCUCGAAAAGGUGUUGAUUUUGUUCACCAUGGUCUUUAACCAUAUGGAUAACUGAUAAGAUUACCGCGAAGAUUCCUUUUAUUUUCAAUAAUUCCAUGUCAUUAAAGAAUCAGUUGAAAAAAAAAAAUA